rnacentral:rRNA from 1 species
GAUGAACGCUGGCGGCGUGCCUAAUACAUGCAAGUCGAGCGAACAGACGAGGAGCUUGCUCCUCGCACGUUAGCGGCGGACGGGUGAGUAACACGUGGAUAAUCUACCUAUAAGACUGGGAUAACUACGGGAAACCGGAGAUAAUACCGGAUAAUAUAUUGAACCGCAUGGUACAUUAGUGAAUGACGGUGUUGCUGUAACGUAUAGAUGGAUCCGCGCCGCAUUAGCUAGUUGGUAAGGUAACGGCUUACCAAGGCAACGAUGCGUAGCCGACCUGAGAGGGUGAUCGGCCACACUGGAACUGAGACACGGUCCAGACUCCUACGGGAGGCAGCAGUGGGGAAUCUUCCGCAAAGGGCGAAAGCUUGACGGAGCAACGCCGCGUGAGUGAUGAAGGUCUUCGGAUCGUAAAACUCUGUUAUUAGGGAAGAACAGAUGUGUAAUUAACUAUGCACGUCUUGACGGUACCUGAUCAGAAAGCCCCGGCUAACUACGUG